AAACAAUGGAACUCCAUCAAGUUGGGAUUGUGUGGGGGAAGGCAAGAAGAAAGCAGUGAGGGGUGCCACAAACUCAAGGCAAGCCUAAUUUUAAGGGGGAAAGACUGAGAUAGGAAGCCCUGCAGACUUAGCCACUCUGGCAUAGUAUUAGAAGGACAAUGACCUGAAUAGAACAUCUGGUAGACCAACCAGGAACCAUUGCAGUGCUGGCAGGAAUCCAGACCAUCCACAGCGUUUUCUCAACCGCAAGCUGAGCAGAACAAGCUUUACCAUAGCAAUAAGACACAAAAAGCAGUAGCGCCAGUGGAUUGACUCAAACUGCCAGUCCUCAGUCUCCACCUGGCUUGGAAGUAAGACCGACACCCGCUAAACUGAGUACACCUCUGCAUUCAUGGAAAAUUAAUUGAAAAUCAAGACACUUGUCAACCUUUUUGUUUCCAGCUGCUAGAGCAGACCACAUGGCUAACAAUGACUAAGUACCUGUUACAAAUCAGGCAUCAUAGAAGAAACUUUUAAAAUGUUCCCAAUAAUCAAUGAGAAGUUGUGAUUAUUCUAGGCAAACAGAGUCACAAGAGAAAGAGAAAAAAAAAAAAAAGCUGUUGUCCAGAGACAUAAAGCUAUUAAGCGGUAGAUUGAAUAUUCAAGCCCAGGACAACCUGACUUGAAAAGUCAUGUUCUUUUCACUAAAUUAUUUUGGCCGCCACUGAAGAGACAAGAAAUCUCAUGGGGAGACAUUAGCAGAUCAAGUUACUCAGAGAUCAUCCACAAUACUUAACUGGUUGUUUUAUGUCUGGAUUAGAUAAUACAACCCAUGUUUACAAUAUUAAGAAGAAAUAUGAGAUGGGCCCAGAACCAGCCAUCAAUUCCAGUGAUGCACAAGCCUCCAUAUUUCCUUGGGUUCACUGUGAACUGGUUAAUGCAAAGCUUGACAAAUUUAAGACAUCCUGAAAGUCCCUGAUGAGGAGUUUUCUGGAUAACCAAAGAUGACCUCGAUUCUCACUUCUCUUGUGGAGCCACUGAACUCACUGUAGAGAGGCCUUGAAAAUGUCUCUCAAAGUCUCUUUCCGCAUGUAAAUAAAGAAAGCUGGAGGGGUUUGUCACUGAUCUAAAAUCCACAUACUAAAUGAUCUUGCUGGAGCACCUCUAGAACCUAGUGGACUCUGCACUCCUAAAGGCAAAGGGAUGACUAACACCAUUGUAUUAUUUUAAAAACAUCCUUUCUCUGUUAUAUGAUGAAUUGUGGAAUAAAGGCAAAUUUAUAUGAGUAAAAGAC
rnacentral:lncRNA from 1 species